rnacentral:misc_RNA from 1 species
AAAUGCGAUAAGUAAUGUGAAUUGCAGAAUUCAGUGAAUCAUCGAAUCUUUGAACGCACCUUGCGCUCCUUGGUAUUCCUUGGAGCAUGCCUGUUUGAGUAUCAUGAAAUCUUCAAAGUAAAUCUUUUGUUAACUCAAUUGGUUUCUACUUUGGUAUUGGAGGUCUUUGCAGCUUCACACCUGCUCCUCUUUGUUCAUUAGCUGGAUCUCAGUGUUAUGCUUGGUUCCACUCGGCGUGAUAAGUUAUCUAUCGCUGAGGACACUGUAAAAGGUGGCCAAGGUAAAUGCAGAUGAAACGCUUCUAAUAGUCCAUUGACUUGGACAAUACUUUUAUGAUCUGAUCUCAAAUCAGGUAGGACUACCCGCUGAACUUAAGC